CCAAACUUGGUCAUUUAGAGGAAGUAAAAGUCGUAACAAGGUUUCCGUAGGUGAACCUGCGGAAGGAUCAUUAAUGAGAUUUAAAUCCAACUUUCUUGCUGUGCAUUCACUUGCACGCGCUGGUUGGCUCUUUAAAACUUUUCACCCCUGUGCACCUUCAGGCUGUUUUUGCAGAGCGUUUUGGCUCGCGGUAAAAGCAUGUCUGUCUUUUUUACACCUUUUUGUAUGUUCUUGAGUGAACUUGUGAUCGGCCCUGUGAUGGGGUUUUGAUCAAUGAAAUAAAAUACAACUUUCAGCAACGGAUCUCUUGGCUCUCCCAUCGAUGAAGAACGCAGC
rnacentral:misc_RNA from 1 species